rnacentral:rRNA from 1 species
UACGUAGGGUGCAAGCGUUGUCCGGAAUUAUUGGGCGUAAAGAGCUCGUAGGCGGUCUGUCGCGUCUGCUGUGAAAACCCGAGGCUCAACCUCGGGCCUGCAGUGGGUACGGGCAGACUAGAGUGCGGUAGGGGAGAUUGGAAUUCCUGGUGUAGCGGUGGAAUGCGCAGAUAUCAGGAGGAACACCAAUGGCGAAGGCGGUUCUCUGGGCAUUACCUGACGCUGAGGAGCGAAAGUGUGGGGAGCGAACAGG